UACGAAGGGGGCUAGCGUUGCUCGGAAUCACUGGGCGUAAAGCGCACGUAGGCGGAUCGUUAAGUCAGGGGUGAAAUCCUGGAGCUCAACUCCAGAACUGCCUUUGAUACUGGCGACCUUGAGCUCGGGAGAGGUGAGUGGAACUGCGAGUGUAGAGGUGAAAUUCGUAGAUAUUCGCAAGAACACCAGUGGCGAAGGCGGCUCACUGGCCCGAUACUGACGCUGAGGUGCGAAAGCGUGGGGAGCAAACAGG
rnacentral:rRNA from 1 species